rnacentral:lncRNA from 1 species
GGAAUAUUGUUUUUACAGGUGCUUUUAUUGUGGCCUGCGGAACCGCACCUUGAGCACUUUCUUCUAAUGCUGCCCUCUCCUUGCGAGGGAAUUCUUAACUUCUUUCGUCUGCCUGGCAUGACCCUUGCCAUGGGAGGCAGCACAACUCGACUUCGAACAUCUUCAGGAGUAUCCCACAUUCCGUGAGGUUGUACCGGGUAGAUGCUAUCCGA